rnacentral:lncRNA from 1 species
AAAAAAAUGAAAAAAAGAAAGAAGGAAAGAAAAUGACAGAGGAAGCAACAAAGAAACCAAUACCUUUGCUUUUUUCUCCGAUCAAUUAUUGUCUCCGCGUGAAUUGAUAAUUGACCCCACCAUUGUCAGCACUUGUAGACAGCUUUCUCAGUUUGUGAAACGACCACCACAACUUGAAAAUUUCCUUUCAUUUCUAUUCAAGAAGUUAAACUCUCUUUCAUUCUAUCUUUCAUCUAUUGUUUCCUUUCUUAAGAAAAAGAUAACAAUGGCUAUCGGAGAAGUUUUUAUUGGCGCACUAAUUACUGUUUUGCUUGAGAAGUUGGUCUCUGGCGAGCUAAUGAAAUUCCUGCAUGGUGUAGGAAUCGACUCCCAGCUGAAAGAAUGGCGUAAGAAAUUGUUGAUGAUGGAAGCAGUGCUUACUGAUGCUGAAAACAAACAAACAACAAACGGAGCUGUGAAGGAGUGGCUGAAGGAUCUGGAGGAUUUGGCUUAUGAUCUGGAUGACUUAGUGGAUGAGUUGAACACUGAAGCUACCCGGCGCAAAAUAAAGGAAAAUCACGAAGCCAACAGGCCAAGCACUAGUAUGGUACGGAAGCUUAUUCCUUCUUGUUGUACUAAUUUCUCUUUCCAUGAUUUUAUGUCUGAUCGCGGGAUGGCUUCCAAGCUGAAUGAAAUUAGUGGUCGAUUGGAAGAUCUAUUCAAACAGAUUAGUAUACUCAGUUUGGUCGAGAAUGUGAGAGGGAGGCCUUAUAGAACAACAGAAAGAUUGGAUCUGACUUCAGUUGUUGAAGAAUCUGGAGUAUAUGGCAGGGAAAAAGACAGAGAGACUAUAAUCAAUAUGUUGUUGGGGGGAGAAUCAAGUGAUAUUCCAAUAUCUGUGAUUCCAAUAGUGGGCAUGGGAGGUGUCGGCAAAACAACUCUUGCACAACUUGUGUACAAUGAUGAUCGAUUAAAGGACGAAUUUGAUCUGAAGGCGUGGGCUUGCGUUUCAGAUCAAUUUGAUGCUUCAACGGUUACAAAAACCAUUCUUAAACAGGUUUCCCCUGGAAGGUAUGACGAUCAUGAUUUUAACACGCUUCAGGUGAAACUAAAGCAAAAUCUGUCAAACAAGAAAUUUCUGUUAGUUUUAGAUGAUGUUUGGAACGAAUAUUAUGAAUAUUGGGACAUCCUGAAGCAUCCAUUCCUGGCUAGCAAACUUGGAAGCAAAAUCAUCGUAACAACUCGUCAGCGUUCGGUGGCGAAAAUCAUGUCUCAUAGUCCAGCUUAUGAUUUGAAUGUGUUGUCGGGUACUGAUGCUUUAUCAUUGUUAGCUCAACAUGCACUUGAAGCCAAAACUUUUGAUGCACGUCCAGAUCUAAGAGAUAUUGGUAAGGCCGUGGUGGAAAAAUGUGGAAACUUGCCACUGGCACUAAAGGCACUUGGAGGGCUUCUGCGGACAAUGGGUAGUCCUAAUGAAUGGGAGGAUGUAUUGAAUAGUGAGAAUUGGAUGGCAGAAGACAAAAGUAAAAUUCUUCCUUCUUUAAAACUGAGUUACCAAUAUCUGCGUCCACAACUGAAAAGAUGCUUUGCUUAUUGUGCUCUGUUUCCUAAAGACUUCGAGUUUGACAAGUCCAAGCUAGUGUACCUUUGGAUAGCAGAAGGUUUUUUACAAGUAUCACAAAGAGAGAUGCUAACACAAGUAGGCAGUAAAUAUUUCGACGAACUGUUUGCGAGAUCAUUCUUCCAAAGAUCAAGUGCCAAUGCUUCAUAUUAUGUGAUGCAUGAUCUCCUUAACGAUCUAGCUACAUUUGUUGAUGGAGAAAAAUGUUUGAGGAUGGACGAUGAGUUGAAGGAAAAUCUUCCCAGCAGCAUAUCUGGAAAUGUCCGUCACUUGUCAUUCAUUCCCCAUCAAUAUGAAAUGUACCAAAGAUUUAAUUUUCUGAAGAAAGUUCGAAGCUUAAGAACAUUUUUACGCUUACCGUGUCCGCGGUGGUAUCCUGAAAGAUUCUUUCCCGACAAAGUUUCGGUUGAAAUAUUGCCGAAAUUGCACUGCUUAAGAGUUCUAUCAUUAAGUGGUUAUACGAUAUAUGAGUUGCCAAAUUCUAUUGGUGAUUUAAAACAUCUACGGUACCUAGACCUAGCUGAAACUUUAUUGAAGUGCUUGCCUGAAUCUGUGAGCAACCUUAUCAAUUUACAAGUGUUGAUUCUAAGAGGAUGCUACAAACUUACAAAAUUACCUGCCAGCAUGGAAAACCUCAUUAAUCUUUUCUAUCUGGACAUUGCUGGUACUCGUGAAUUAAAUGAGAUGCCUCAAGGAAUCGCUCAACUAAAAAGUUUGCAGACAUUACCCAAGAUGAUUGUGAGCAAAAGCAGUGGGAUGAGGUUAAAGGAUUUGGGGAAUCUAUCACUUCUACAAGGUAAAAUUUCUAUUGAGGAAUUGCAAAAUGUGGUAAAUGUUCAGGAAGCAAUUGACGCAAGACUAACGUCUAAUCCAAGCCUUAACGAAGUAAGGUUGGCAUGGAAUGGCGAGUUUGGUGAUUCCCGAAAUGAAAUUCUAGAAUUUGACGUGCUUAAUGCUUUAGAGCCUCAUUAUAACUUAAAAAGUCUUGAAAUUGAUUGUUAUGGAGGUUCAAAAUUCUCUAAUUGGAUUGGAGAUUUAUCAUUCAGUAAGUUGGAAAAGAUAAGCUUCAGUUUUUGUGGAAAUUGCAUUACUUUACCAUCAUUAGGGCAACUACCUUCCCUAAGAGAAUUGAGCAUUAGAUGGAUGGAUCGAAUAAAAGUGAUAGGAGCCGAAUUUUAUGGAGAUAAAGGCCUUUUUCCAGAGCUAGAGAGGCUGACUAUUGAGGACAUGCUAGAUUGGGCGGAAUGGCUUGGAUUAACACAUGAAGUAGAAGGUGUUGUCAGAUUUCCUCAGCUCUCUAAAUUGUGCAUACAACGAUGUCCCAAAUUGGUCAAGAUACCGAUUCCCUCACUGCCAUCCCUUUGUGAAUUGAGCAUUGGAGGGAUGGAUCGAGUAAAAGUGAUAGGAGCUGAAUUUUAUGGAGAUAAGGGCCCUUUUCCAGCGCUAGAGAGGCUGACUAUUGAGGACAUGCCAAAUUGGGAGGAAUGGCUUGGAUUAACACAUGAAGUAGAAGGUGUUAUCAGAUUUCCUCAGCUCUCUAAAUUGUGCAUACGAAAAUGUCCAAAAUUGGUCAAGUUACCAAUUCUCUCAUUGCCAUCCCUUCGUGAACUAAAAGUGAAAGCGUGUAAUGAGGUGGUGCUAAGUCACAUGCACAAUUUGGAAUCUUUAACCCAAUUAAAUUUGGAGAAAAUUUUCAGAUUGACUUCAGUUUCAAAAGCAUUUAUGCAGUUUCCUUUUGCACUUGAAAAUUUGGAAGUUUGUGAUUGUAACGACCUUGAGACUCUAUGGCCAAGUGAUCGUAUUGCUCAAAGCCUAGUCAACCUACGACGGCUGUCUGUUAACACGUGUCCUAAGCUCUUGACCCUUAGAGACAUUGAUGCUCUUCCAGUUCUUAGAGACCUUCGCAUACUGAAAUGUGAAUCUCUAGAGUUUGUUCCCAAUAGCAUAUCUUGUCUAAAAAGUUUAGAAAUCAGGAAUUGUUCCUCAUUGAAGACCAUGAUGAAGCUACAGGAUUGCAACACCUCACUUGAAUUUCUUUCGGUCGAAAUGAGGGUGAAUUUUAAUUUGACAAAUUUACUGGGAUCAGUUCACAAUUACACAAGUCUCCAUCGGCUACAUAUAUAUUUCUGUGAUGGUCUGGAGUCGUUUCCCCCUGGAGGCUUGCCCACUCCCAAUUUGAAAUGUCUUUUUACACAUGAUUGUCAACAAUUGAAGUCCUUACCGGAUCGGAUGGAACUAAUUUCAUCACUUGAAAGCUUGUUAGUAACGCGUUGUCCUUUAUUAGUAGAGCCCUUUCCCCAAAGGAAAUUUCCUCCAAAUCUGACGGAUCUUUCAUUCUGUAAUUGUGGGAAUCUAAAACCCCUGGGGGAGUGGGGCUUACACAAAAUCACCUCUCUUGAAAUAUUCCAAUUGAGUCUUUGCUAUCAAGAGCUGAUUUCCUUCUCUAAUGACGACAAUGAUGAUGAUAACAACCAUUUGCUUCCUCCAUCUAUAAGGAAAUUGAACUUGUUUGACUUUCCCAAUCUAGAAAGUCUAACAAAGGGCUUCCAAAACCUCACAUCACUUCGGCAUUUAUGGAUCUCCAGAUGUCCAAAACUUGUGGCGUUGCCUAUGGAAGACCAGCUCGACAGGCUUUGGAGUCUUCAUAUUGAUAAGUGCCCGCUUCUUAAAAAACGGUGUUUGAAGAACGAAGGAGACUACUGGAAAAUCAUCGCUGACAUUCCCGACAUUGAAAUUGAUUAGCGUUCCGUCCAUGAUCCAGAUCAAUGAUCAUGAAACCCUCAAGUAACAUAUACAAUUUGCUGAAACAAACAACACAAUUUCGACUUUCCAGAAGAAAUUAUAUCACGCGGUUAGUGUAGUAACUGCGGUUUCUUUAGCAAAUUAUUUGUUAAUUUUUUAGGAAAAUGCAUAUUUAUCAUAUAAUGAUGUAUAGUAAUUGAUAAUUAUACGUGACACAUUGUUUUAUUUCCAGUUCAUUGGAUAAUAAAUUUGAGAUGUUUUUAAUGAGAAACAUUUCACUUUAAAAUUUUUGUCAAGAACAAAGUGUGAUUGAUUCAGAUCAACGUCCAAUUUUGACUUUCCAAAAUAAACUGUAUCACCAGUUAGUGUAGUAAUUGCUGUUUCUUUAGGAAAUUAUUUGUUAAUUUUUCAGAAAUAUGCAUGUUUAUCAUAUAAUAAUGCAUGGUAAGUGAUAAUCAUGUGACACAUUGCUUUAUUUCCAGUUUAUUGGAUUCUAAAUUUGAUAUGUUUUUAAUGAGAAACAUUUCACUUUUAAAUUGUUUUGAAGCUUUUAUGUAGAACUCCAACUCCAAGUGUGUCAAGUUCAAUUAUUCAUUAUAUGCUUAGUUAAACGAAUGACUGUGACAUAGCCUACUUAGCUAGCUAUAAUCACGCAUAAACGUUUUACUUAAUCCAUUUCCUUUAUCCUAUGUUGUCAUAUAAUUCUGCUCAAACUCUGUUUUCCAGUUAGUUCCUACUGAAUUCUAUAUACUUUGUUACAGAAAUCAAUCAACUAAAAUUACUUUGUUACAGAAAUCAAUCAUUAUUAUUUUUCUCUCUUUAGUAGGAAACACAUACAAUUUAUGCACUCUCUCGUUGAGGUUUAUUAGUUGAUAAGUUUAUUUGCAAUACUUAUUAUCGUUUCUUGAUUUUGUGCAGUCUUUUCAUCAUUAGAAGCUCCAUGCUCGUUUAGAUGCAAAAACUUGAUGUUUCCGCUGGAAAGAGAAGCAAAAGUGAGAAUUCUAAUCCUCUUAUGAACACCUGAUUACUGUCUGACCGUCCAUUGCCAAACAAGUCGGAGGUUCGCAGAUUGAUUGUAUGAGCUCAUUAUUUCUUAAUCAUUAUUCUGUUCAUCGGUAUGCAAUUUACGAUUACCUGAGAAUGAAAUACUUUUAAUCUAAACUACUAUGUUCAUAUGGCAGUAGGGACUUCGCAGAUUGGUUGCUUCUUCUCUUUGGAUUCUGUAAUUGCAGAAAGCCAGGCAGAGGGACAAUAAACGUUUGUUAACUCUAAUGGGGAAAGUAAGUACAUACGAAACGUAUGCUAUUUUUCAUACAGCAAUAUUUUUUUCUUUUCAAAAAGAAUUGACGCUCUCUUUUUCUAUGGCCAGUUCUAAUUGAUGUGGAAUAUGAGCAAUUGGUCUUGAAAAAGGAGCAAACGACUUCGGUAAACCAUGUCUACCUUUACUAUUAUCUUUUAUCUCCUAUUUAUCAGUAUGCAAACAUUAUUCUUAUUCUUUUCAGCAAAUUAUGAGGGACAAACUUAACAUCAAGAGAAUUCUGGUGCUACUGAUUGUAUGGUUUCUUGCUUCUUCAAGUUUUCAAGGCAAGUAAAUUGCAUCUCUUUCCUUUCUAAACUUGUAUAACAUUGUGUUCAAGACAGUAAAUUGUUGCUAAGAAAAUCCCGUUAAAAUUUAGGGCCCAUUUGGGAGUAAUUUUAAAAAAGAUCACUGGACUGGAGCAAUGACUUGUUAGAGAGUGUUUUUACUAUCUUAUGAAUUGUUGGUACAUAUGACGAAUUUUUUGGUACUGUUUUAUUUUACUUCUUGAUUGGAAAUAUAGAAAGCUGUUGAAUAUAAUAUUUGACUAUAAAUAUUUGACCAUAUCUAAUAGUUUAAAUUUUUAGAUCAAAUGGUUUAACGAGGUAUUAGAGUAGGCAAAAGUCCCAGGUUCAAGUCUCACCACCAGCCAUUCAUUAAAAUUGUGCCCAUGUAAGGCUUUACUGAAAAGAAGAUAAUCUUGCUUACACGUGAGAUGGCGUGAUGAAAAUAAUAUUUAAAUGAUAAACAUUUGAUUAUUUCUAACAGUUUAAACUUUUAGAUCAAAUGCUUCAACAAUACUCCUGCCUUGUGAUUUUAUUGUUUUUGACACUGACAUGUUCUUCUUCCUCAAAAAGAACAAUUCUUGAAUGGCAAACUAACAUGUUUUUUUCUCAUUACCCAAAUUAUGCAUUCACCAAAGAUAUUAAAUGAAGAAAUAGACUAGGAUUAGUUUGAAUCAAUUUUGAUUUAUUUCUAUCCAUUUCGAAGCAGAAAAUUUUUCAUCUAUUUACUGUGGUUAACUUUUAAUGUUUACUGUGGAUUCGAAGUAUAAAAAAUAGGACUAAUAUUAUUGAAUAUGCAGACCAUUUGAGUGAUAUUAAAUUACUCCUUACAAGUAUUCUCUCUCUUCUUUCUCUCACCCAUUAUGCAUCAAAUGAUGGUAAGAAUAUUCCUUUAAUAGAUGAAUUUGUCUAGUGGAACAUAAUGGAGUGUACCGAUGUACACCUCACUCACAUGGGUGUGGGACCCAUGUGAAAGAAAUAAUAUUUUAUUCGAGUGGGUCUCUCACCCAUAUGAGUGGGGUGUACACCAUUAGGUACAUCCCGAUAUGCCACUAGCAAAACCGUUAAUAGAUAACCGUUCUAUAAAAGUUCAUUACUAUAUAAGCUAUAUAGGACAUGAAAUUUUUUGCAAGUAGACCCUCAAAUUGAUUUACCACCUGGCUCUAAUUUUCCGUUUAGCAUUUUGUAUAUAAGAGGAAUAUCAUAUUUAUUAUGUUACUCCUUCUAUUUAAAUUAGGGAAAAUUGUAGCAAUGGUCCAUAACCUUUCUUUUUUUUUUUAGCAAACAUUAUCCUGACCUUCAAGUUUUUGUCAGUCGAGGCCUCCAACCUUUGAAAAAUUUGCACCUGAGGUCCAAAUUUGGCCAUUAGUUGACCCGGAAUAUCUAAAAAUUGGAUAUUUUGACCAUUUAAGUAGGACAUUUUCGACAGUCUCAUAAUAACUUUAGAUUUUUUAAUAAAAACACAUUUAUAUAAUAAGGAAUAAUCUUUUUAAAAAAAAAAAAAUCAAAACUAACUUCUUCNNNNNNNNCCCCCCCCCCCCCCCCAAAAAAAAAAUCAAACAAACUAGUAACAUUGUGUUUUCAUUUUAUUUAUGCUGAUCAGUGAAUAUGAAUGUUGGUCUACAGAAUGAUUUGACAGCUUGUACUCCAAUGUACCGAGUUUCAUGACUGGCCCAACUAACAAAUUAGUAAUCCACAUCGCGCUUUGUAUAUCUUUUGUUGUAAGCUCCAGUUGGCUAAUUUGGAUCCUAUUUAGCGGUUACAUCAGCUGGAUUUCAUGGCUUGCUGUUUUACAUCAUAUUUGACAUAAACAUUGUUUCUGUUAUUACACAGUUAACAAGAGAGGGCAGCACGGCGAACCAUCAUCUAGCGACACUUUUUUCUUCGAGUGUCGAGCAACUCUGGGAACAUUUAUUGUCAGUUGAAGCCAAUGUUGUUGAUAAGUGUAUAUAACCUAUCUAUAUUGCUCGAGUAUCUGCUGAUUUUUGACAUUUCUUUAUGUCUUAGGGGUGGUCCCGAGCUUCGAAAACACGUGGGCGAAUAAUGGAGCAAAAAUUAGUGUUAAACACCGAAAGAGGAGCAAUUUGGAGAGCAGCAUGGGAAGAUUCAUGAAUUUCCAUUUGGCAUAUAAUAUAUUAUGGGAAAGAUCAUCCAAUCUGGAGUCUAACGCAAAAAGAUGGGUUGCAAAUCAGAGUUGUAGAUAAAAUGUCAUGCGAAACUGAAGUUGGACUGCAGAGACGAGUACAAGCACUGUCGGUGUAAGGUGGUGGUGCGAGUUGAAGCAUCACUGGUUCAAGUUAGCGGCACCAAACUUCGUGGAUGGUCUCAGGGUGGUGAUUCUGGUGUUUUGGGCACAAAUUUCAAGCAAAUCUAACCCUACGAUGGAUAUCUCCACUCAAUUUGCUUAUUACUUAAAUGAUGUGUAACUAAACUCAUUUGUUAGGAUAAUUGGAGUAACCCAAUUUUGAAGAUUGGCUCCGACAAUGUAUAAAGUGCAUCUCUUUACCAACACUAGAGUAUCUACCCUUGUGUUAGAGACUUGAGCAUGAAUCAAUUAAAAGUAAUUAUAGAGGAGUUUUAUGGAAAUAUGUGUUGGGGAGAAUUACCAUCCAAAUCACUGGAGACUCUAUUUUUUAGGACAUGACAGAAUGGGAGGAAUGGCUUGGAUUAAAACUUGAAGUGCAUGGGGAAAUUAAAUUCCUCAAGAUGUAUUGCAUAAAGGAACGUCCCAAAUUGAUAAAGAUUCCAAAAUUGUUAUUUCUAUUUGUGAACUAUAAGUAGAAGGGUGUGGUGAAGAUGUGUUAAAUGGUAUGCACAAUUUAACCACCCCAACCAAUUUAAAAUUGAAGAAUAUAGUUGGUAUGACUUCAAUUAACAAUGCAUUCAUGCGACUUGAAAAUUUUGAAAAGUGAUGAUUGUAAGGACCUAGUGACUUUUUGGUCAAAUGAUAAUAUUGUGCAAAGCCUAGUCAACCUACUAACAUUCGAGGUUAAAUGAUGUCCUCAGCUUUCAUCUAUUGUAGAAAUUGGUGUUCUUCCUACAAUUGAUCAUCUCCGUGUAAGGAAUUGUGC